AUACGGAGGGUGCAAGCGUUAAUCGGAAUUACUGGGCGUAAAGCGCGCGUAGGCGGCUGAUUAAGUCGGAUGCGAAAUCCCUGGGCUCAACCUAGGAACUGCAUCCGAUACUGGUCAGCUGGAGUUUUGGAGAGGUAAGUGGAAUUUCCGGUGUAGCGGUGAAAUGCAUAGAGAUCGGAAGGAACACCAGUGGCGAAGGCGACUUACUGGCCAAAAACUGACGCUGAGGUGCGAAAGCGUGGGUAGCGAACAGGAUUAGAAACCCUGGUAGUCC
rnacentral:rRNA from 1 species